UACGUAGGGGGCAAGCGUUAUCCGGAAUUACUGGGUGUAAAGGGAGAGUAGGCGGCAAGGUAAGCGAUAUGUGAAAGCCUUAGGCUUAGCCAAAGGAUUGCAUAACGAACUAUCUAGCUAGAGUACAGGAGAGGAAAGCGGAAUUCCUAGUGUAGCGGUGAAAUGCGUAGAUAUUAGGAAGAACACCAGUGGCGAAGGCGGCUUUCUGGACUGAAACUGACGCUGAGGCUCGAAAGCGUGGGGAGCGAACAGG
rnacentral:rRNA from 1 species